rnacentral:lncRNA from 1 species
GAUUUUUAGGAUGUUCUACACUCAGCUUUUAUGAGAAACAGACAAAUGACAAUCUCAUGCCAAGGAUUUGUUUUAAAAGGCUGUAUAACAGGUAGACCAUUGACUAACACAUGUUUUACCACCUUUAUCUUCAGAGUACUGCAGACAAAUGAUAUUCAUAAUGACUCUACACGAUACUGAAAUGGUAUCUGAAUAUUAACAACUAAAUUCUGACCAGUUAUGAUUUAAAACAUUUAGCUAUUUAUUGAUUGUUAUUUUUUUAAAAACUUGGAAUGUGCAUUAUAUGUAUAUUUAACUAUAAAGUCACUGAACAUUUAAUUAACAUAUGUCCUGUUUUUCAAUCAUUACUAGGAGUAAUCUUUAUAGAAAUACAAGUAGCAACCAUUACCACAAAUGAAUUCUCAUAAGAAACAGUUAUUCAAGUCUUUUUCUCUCUCUCUUUGUCAAACGCAUGUGCACACACACACACACACACACACACUUUGUAUGCCUGUGGAUUGUGUGAGAGAGAGAAUGAGCCUGUAAAUACAGAAUUAUAUCAGAAUUCUUGUAGCAAAUAAGCUAUCAGGAAAAUUGAGCCAACUUAGUCUUGGUCUUGUGAAGGACAUUUUCUCUUUUCUGACCUAGUCUUUUCUAUUAAGUGAAAGAUGUCACACAAUGACCACUCAUCUAUUUUUGAUGGAUACAUGAAUUGUACAUUACAUGGAAAGAAGAGAGAAAAUAAUCCUAAUUUUAUAUAAUGUACAGGUUAGAAAGCCUGAUACAGACUAAUAUAAAAUUAAUGCUUUGAAUAAAUUUGUUUAUACUAUUGCUCUGUUAGUGUUGCUACUUUUGGUUUGUUUUUCAAUUGUUUUUCCAAUAUGUAUUUAGUUUGAUUUUUAAUAAUCUUCUCUCUCUCUUUUUUCUUUUCUUCUCCUUUACCUCUUGCUCCUCUUCCUUACUCUCCUUGCCUUCCUCCUCAGUCUCCUCAUCCUCAUCUUCCUCCUCAUCCUCUUUCUUUGUUUUCAUUACAAAAUAAAAUAAGCAAUCAGAAAAGUUCAUACAGAUAUUGUUACUUGUCUUUAGGGACCUGGAUCUAACUUAGUGCUGUUGCUUCUGUUUCUUCCCUUUUGUCCUCCUCUUCUUUUUCUCCUUUGUGUUCUGUUUUACUUUUUAAAAAUAGAUGCCACAACUCUGAUUUUUAAUCUGAUUGUGUAAAUGAUCCUUAAUAGUAAAAUCAAUUUUAAUAUCUUACAAAACAGAAGCACAGCAAAGCAUUUUGCAGAAUUUACCAUAAAGUAAAUAAUAACCAUUCCUAGUAUGAUAAUGCUGCAACUAUUUUUCUUUCAUCCUCUGCAACAUUUUUAUCUGACACAGUCUCUGCUGUUUCCAAGUUCAACGUCCUGCAGCAAGCCUUGCCAGCAAUACAGAAUACUUUCAAUUAGUAGUUCUCUACUUCUCUGGUAGCUAAGCAACUGACCUGUGGUGAAGAAUACAUAAUGAUCUGCAUAGACACCUUAGAGCAAUAGAAAGUACAAGCUUCACAAUUUCAUUUGCUCUCUUGUGUUGAUGUUACAAUAACCAGUUAAAUGCAUGGAAAUAUUUGAUAGUAGUUUGCUAUAAUAAACUUUAAUAAAGAUUAAAAGAAGCCUUGGAGAAAGAGCUACUGUUUAAGACAGAAUUCAUCAAGUAGCAGAAGUGAUGGAAGGGCCAAGGGGAAGAAAGAUGGACAAAACCUGAAAAUUGAAAGUGCAAUAAAAUGAAAAUUACAAAUGAAAACCAGUAUGCCUGAGUUAUACAUGACUGUUUAGUAGAGUGUCUUCAUGUGGGUUAAAGAA